GAUGGAGUUUGUUGGUUGUGCCGAGAAGAAGAAGGAGCUGGUGCUGUGAGGAGCUGCCCAUGAGAAAUCACCAAGAAGCUAGAUGAGGCACUGUCAAAUGAUCCUGCUGCAUUCACGCAAAAGUUGCACAACAAGCAUCUGACCAUCUUUAUCCCAUUUUCUUCACAUUGGCCUAUUCUUCAGCCUUUCAGAUGCCCAGAAAUGCUUUUAUCUGAUGACAUUGCGCAAAGAGCCAUUCCCUUGACACAGUGGUUGGGAUCAGCCAGUCAAAGCCAGAGUAAAGGUUACAAAAUGCAUCACAGUGAGUAUGGCAGGAGGCAUUUGAUAACGCCACAAAUAACCUUAUCCUUGCAGUCAUUUAAAAACAGGAGGGAGGGAAGGAAAAAAUUAAACAGGAAACUUUUUCAGAGCAUGCAAACUCCUUUCAUGAGAAAAGAAACCCUUUUCUCACUUUU